AACAAAUCAAUUUUUCAGUUUUUAGAUAUAAUGUUUAACUCUUCGUCUUAUUAAAAAAAUUUACAAUUAAUAAUUUUAUUUUUAUUAGAUGAUAAAACAUACAUAGUACUUUAUGUAUGACUAAUUUUUUUAAAAUUUUUUUAAAUAAGACGGAUGGUCAAACGCUCGACGCAAAAAUCGA
rnacentral:pre_miRNA from 1 species